rnacentral:sRNA from 1 species
CUGAUGCAGAAACCAAUAAACAAGGAGGCAACCAAUAAAUACAUUCUUAGAAAGUGUAAUCUGUGCUUUGUAGGAAAGCAGUGGGGGUAGUGUAACUGAGAUUCAUGGGGGAGAGCUGAUAGGAUGGUCAGAGAAGGGGUCUUUAAAGCCCCAAAGGAUGAGGAGAGAGCCAAAGAAUGCAGAGAAGAGUGUUUGGGGUACAGAAAACAGUCAGUGCAAGGGCACUGCAGCAGGAGAGGCUUGCACAUUUGAGGAACAGGUUGGUGGUCCCUGUGGCCAGAGCAAAUUGAGAAGAGUGCCGAGGAAGAGAUGUGCUUGGAAAGGGUCAGAUUCAUGCCACUGGGAUGGGAAGAGGUAAGUGGAGGUUCACAGGAGGUUUCCUGAAGAAAUCAGCUCCUUGGCCAGGGAGUGCCAUGGCAAUCAAUUCUGAGAGGUGAGACGUCAUGGGAUGUCAGGGAGGGUGAUCAGCAGACAGGCCUGGCUGGAGUGGAAGGGUGCGAUCUGGAGGUCCCAGCCCUGUCAUGGCCUUGGGAGAAAGAAAAGGGCCACAGGUCUAAGGGCUCCAAGGCAAGGCUGAUGGGAUAGAGCUAUGGUGGGUGAAAUGGGGUGACAGGGAGGCAGGGGACACAAGCCGUUCCAUUGUCUGUCUCUCCACAGCGCCGCCCCUGGCUGGGGGCACCUCUGCAGGUGGGACUGGUGGGCUUCUGCCUGGUAUUUGCGACCCCCCUGUGCUGUGCCCUAUUCCCCCAGAAGAGCUCCAUACACGUGAGCAAGCUGGAACCAGAGCUGAGAGCUCAGAUCCAUGAGCAAAACCCCAGCGUUGAAGUGGUCUACUACAACAAAGGGCUUUGAGGAGGGUCAGCCUCUGUCCCCUCCCUCACUUCCUUGGGCUGCUGCUUUAGUGGAGUCAUGUCACCCCUGCCACUUGCCUAUUUGCCUAGCACUGGGCAGGGGCCUUGGUGGGCAGAUGGCCAUUGAGGGUAGCAACCUAUUAGGGUAGGGGAAGUACACCCAUAAGGCUUUUCCUCCCUUCUCUGGUUUCAAAGAUCAGAGCACACAACCCCUCCCUCCUGUGCUUGAGUGUCCAUGCAUAUACAUACAUGAUACACAUGUGUAUGUGUACAUUGGGUCCUGAAAGCUAGGAGCAGGCAUGCUAGCCUAGUAUGUUCUGACAUCUGGCUUCCCUUCUCAGCCUCAUGUCCACCUGCCUGCCAGCCAGGCUACAGGUGGGACUUCUUUCUCUAAACUGUUAUACCAGCCAAGUUAUUUUUGAUGGCACCUCAUCCCUUCUAGACAUAGGAGGAGCCCCAGGAUCUCAGGACAGAGACUUAUAGACACUAGUAGGACAAAGUGGGCUGAAUCCUUCAGGAUUCUGAUACCUAGCUCCCCAAGCUGACUGGGCUGGCAGAGGAGAACAUGUUGGGAUAAGGGAGGCAGGGGACUUAUGCAUCCCUCAGUGCCAUCCCUUGUAUCCUGGAAUAGCUUCAUUUCCCCUCCUCCUCUCUACCAGACAAAGGAGUGCCUGUGUCCUAUACUGCCCUCGCUAUCUCCCCCACCACCGUACUCGGUAGCGUGGGCAUCUUCAGGCACAGCCUUGGGAGUUCCUGGUGUGCUCUGACAUCAUGACCUCAAAUCUAAAUCCUCCAAUCCCAACUCCCUUUCCCAAACAAAAAGCCACAGAGGCAGAGCAAGCAUUCCCCUUUAAGAGCUUCCACUGCACCCCCUCCCAAGGGACACAGCUGUAGGAGUGGUGCUUAAACUCCACAGGUAUCAGAGAGGGUGUAACUAGGACAUCCUCAAGGGCAGCUAGGCCCCGAAUGUACAAUGUUGAGACAGGGAAUUUUGUGUUCCAUUGACUUUUUUUUUUUUUUAAUGGAGUUUCACUAUUUUGCCCAGGCUGGAGUGCAAUGGUGCGAUCUUGGCUCACUGCAACCUCUGCCUCCUGGGUUCAAGUGACUCUGUUGCCUCAGUCUCCCGAGUAGCUGGGAUUACAGGUGCGUGCUACCACAUCUCGCUAGUUUUAUAUUUUUAGCAGAGAUGGGGUUUCACCAUGUUGGCCAGGCUAGUCUCGAACUCCUGACCUCAGGUGAUCCACCUGCCUUGGCCUCCCAAAGCGCUGGGAUUACAGGCAUGAGCCACCGCGCCCAGCCUGUUCCACUGACAUUUCUUAGACAUUCAGCAAAACCCCCACCUUAACCUCUUUUCUUUCUUGAGGGUUGGUCCUGUCCCCACCUCUACCCUCCCACCCCCUGGAAGAGGAACGGCCCGGGCAUCAAUGGCUAGUCCAAAUAAAAUAUGGGCUUGGGGAUGGAAUGGGUGGUGGUAAGUUCACAGAGCGUAGUUAGAUCCCAACUCCCAUGACCUUUGGCUUCAGCGGUGGGUGGGGCAGGGCAGACGAAAGGGCUUCUUCAGUGGGAACCUCUGAGAGCAUUUUCCUGUUCCCCCCAUCAACCGCCCCCAGUGAUAACAUCUCUGAAGCCAGCCAUUACUCAAUAAACUGCAAACUUGUCU